rnacentral:rRNA from 1 species
UACGUAGGGGGCAAGCGUUGUCCGGAUUUAUUGGGCGUAAAGAGCGUGUAGGCGGCCAGGUAGAUCCGUUGUGAAAACUCGAGGCUCAACCUCGAGACGCCGAUGGAAACCAUCUGGCUAGAGUCCGGAAGAGGAGAGUGGAAUUCCCGGUGUAGCGGUGAAAUGCGCAGAUAUCGGGAAGAACACCCGUGGCUAAGGCGGCUCUCUAGUACGGUACUGACGCUGAGACGCGAAAGCGUGGGGAGCGAACAGG